GUCUUCGUGGUGUAACGGUCAGCACGCUCGGCGUGUAUUCGAGAGGUCCGUGGUUCGAUUCCCAGCGAGAGCA
rfam:Stegodyphus mimosarum contig12130, whole genome shotgun sequence.